rnacentral:rRNA from 1 species
GACGAACGCUGGCGGCGUGCCUAAUACAUGCAAGUAGAACGCUGAAGAGAGGAGCUUGCUCUUCUUGGAUGAGUUGCGAACGGGUGAGUAACGCGUAGGUAACCUGCCUUGUAGCGGGGGAUAACUAUUGGAAACGAUAGCUAAUACCGCAUAACAAUGGAUGACACAUGUCAUUUAUUUGAAAGGGGCAAUUGCUCCACUACAAGAUGGACCUGCGUUGUAUUAGCUAGUAGGUGAGGUAACGGCUCACCUAGGCGACGAUACAUAGCCGACCUGAGAGGGUGAUCGGCCACACUGGGACUGAGACACGGCCCAGACUCCUAUGGGAGGCAGCAGUAGGGAAUCUUCGGCAAUGGGGGCAACCCUGACCGAGCAACGCCGCGUGAGUGAAGAAGGUUUUCGGAUCGUAAAGCUCUGUUGUAAGUCAAGAACGAGUGUGAGAGUGGAAAGUUCACACUGUGACGGUAGCUUACCAGAAAGGGACGGCUAACUACGUGCCAGCAGCCGCGGUAAUACGUAGGUCCCGAGCGUUGUCCGGAUUUAUUGGGCGUAAAGCGAGCGCAGGCGGUUUGAUAAGUCUGAAGUUAAAGGCUGUGGCUCAACCAUAGUUCGCUUUGGAAACUGUCAAACUUGAGUGCAGAAGGGGAGAGUGGAAUUCCAUGUGUAGCGGUGAAAUGCGUAGAUAUAUGGAGGAACACCGGUGGCGAAAGCGGCUCUCUGGUCUGUAACUGACGCUGAGGCUCGAAAGCGUGGGGAGCGAACAGGAUUAGAUACCCUGGUAGUCCACGCCGUAAACGAUGAGUGCUAGGUGUUGGAUCCUUUCCGGGAUUCAGUGCCGCAGCUAACGCAUUAAGCACUCCGCCUGGGGAGUACGACCGCAAGGUUGAAACUCAAAGGAAUUGACGGGGGCCCGCACAAGCGGUGGAGCAUGUGGUUUAAUUCGAAGCAACGCGAAGAACCUUACCAGGUCUUGACAUCCCGAUGCUAUUUCUAGAGAUAGAAAGUUACUUCGGUACAUCGGUGACAGGUGGUGCAUGGUUGUCGUCAGCUCGUGUCGUGAGAUGUUGGGUUAAGUCCCGCAACGAGCGCAACCCCUAUUGUUAGUUGCCAUCAUUCAGUUGGGCACUCUAGCGAGACUGCCGGUAAUAAACCGGAGGAAGGUGGGGAUGACGUCAAAUCAUCAUGCCCCUUAUGACCUGGGCUACACACGUGCUACAAUGGCUGGUACAACGAGUUGCGAGUCGGUGACGGCAAGCUAAUCUCUUAAAGCCAAUCUCAGUUCGGAUUGUAGGCUGCAACUCGCCUACAUGAAGUCGGAAUCGCUAGUAAUCGCGGAUCAGCACGCCGCGGUGAAUACGUUCCCGGGCCU